AUUGAACGCUGGCGGCAUGCUUUACACAUGCAAGUCGAACGGUAACAGGCCUUCGGGUGCUGACGAGUGGCGAACGGGUGAGUAAUGCAUCGGAACGUACCCAGAGGUGGGGAUAACGCAGCGAAAGCUGUGCUAAUACCGCAUGUGAUCUGAGGAUGAAAGCGGGGGACCGAGCAGCAAUGUUUGGCCUCGCGCCUUUGGAGCGGCCGAUGUCGGAUUAGCUAGUUGGUGGGGUAAAGGCCUACCAAGGCGACGAUCCGUAGCUGGUCUGAGAGGACGACCAGCCACACUGGGACUGAGACACGGCCCAGACUCCUACGGGAGGCAGCAGUGGGGAAUUUUGGACAAUGGGCGCAAGCCUGAUCCAGCAAUGCCGCGUGCGGGAAGAAGGCCUUCGGGUUGUAAGCCGCUUUUGGCAGGAACGAAACGGUGUCCGCUAAUACCGGGCGCUAAUGACGGUACCUGCAGAAUAAGCACCGGCUAACUACGUG
rnacentral:rRNA from 1 species